UAACUUCUGCAGGCUGGCCAGUACCUUGGCGGGGCUGGGCGAGUAUCUCUUCCAAAGGCUCACCCUUAAGCAUGACUAGGAGC
rnacentral:pre_miRNA from 1 species